rnacentral:rRNA from 1 species
UACGUAGGGUGCGAGCGUUGUCCGGAAUUAUUGGGCGUAAAGAGCUUGUAGGCGGUCUGUCGCGUCUGCUGUGAAAAUCCGGGGCUCAACCCCGGACUUGCAGUGGGUACGGGCAGACUAGAGUGUGGUAGGGGAGACGUGGAAUUCCUGGUGUAGCGGUGAAAUGCGCAGAUAUCAGGAGGAACACCGAUGGCGAAGGCAGGUCUCUGGGCCACUACUGACGCUGAGAAGCGAAAGCAUGGGGAGCGAACAGG